CGCAGCUAGUGGCUUCACUGCCAAGGGCUCCUGCUGUACACGAACUGGAGCUAAGACAUUGUAAUGAGGUUCUGUUAAAGGAAUUUCCAACUCAAUUACAAAAGCUCAAUAUUGAAGGAUUUGGCGCACUAGAGUCCCUUCCUCAGGGACUGGUGGACUCCAAUGGCUGUCUUCAAGAGUUAAAAGUCUCAAACUGUAUGAAGUUCGAGCUCCCAACACACCCAAGCUUUUCAUCCCUUGAACAAUUGCGGUUGCAUGGUUGUGCUUCCCUCAAGUCAUUUCCAUUAGAUUUAUUCCCGAAGCUUUAUGAAAUACACAUCUCUUGGUGUAAGAAUCUGGAAUCAUUUACUCUUUUAGAACAACACGGACGUGAUUUAGUAACCUUGCGUAUUAACAUCGCAGGUUGCCCUAGUUUUGUAUCUUUUCCAAAAGGAGGAAUUUGUGCCCCCGACCUUACAUUCUUUUGGGUCUACAACUGUGGAAGUCUGAGGUCACUGCCAGAGAAGAUGCAUAUACUCCUGCCUUCUCUUAAGUUUUUUCAAAUAAUUGAUUGUCCAGAGGUUGAAUUGUUGCCUGAAGGUGGCUUUCCUUCCAAUCUGGAACUUAUUUACAUCAAUAAUUGUGAAAAACUCUUUGCCAGUCGGAUGGGAUGGGGUUUGCAAAAACUCCCUUCUGUUAGACAUUUCUCAAUUUGUGGCAAAUUUGAAGAUUUGGUGUCUUUUCCGGAGCCAGGGUUGCUGCCUUCCUGUCUGACUUAUCUUCAUAUAUCUGGGUUUCCAAAUAUGAAAUCUUUGGACAAGAAAGAGCUUCAACACCUCACUUCUCUUCAAGGAUUGUCGAUCUGGCAUUGCCCUAAGCUCGAGUACCUGCCAAAAGAGGGGUUGCCUAUCUCCCUUUCUUCUAUAGAGAUCGUGAAAUGCCCUUUGUUGAAGAAGCAGUGGCAAAGCAAGAAAGGAAAGGAGCGGCGAAAGAUUCCUGACGUGGAUCACAUAUUGAUUGAUUAUGAAUAUAUUGAAUGAGCUAAAAGCCCCGCAAGAGUCCCAUUUUCUGUACAUCAUGUGGAAGGCGGCAACAACAUAUUUAGCUUCCACAGUUAGUUGGAUGGAAAAGAUUUUAAUUAACAGAAUUAGAAGUUCGAAGAGCUUGGUGGGAUUGCAAGAAACAGAGGCAGGCAAAUAGAAUCCAUGAUUCUGUGAGGCAUGAAUACGAGAAGGAGCCUUUAGAAGAACCUUUUGACAUUAACUCUGUUCCCAAGGAGAUUUAAGUCUCAGCCACUAGCAUAGAAGAAAGUUCCACCAUCUGCUCCGGCAUCAACUGUUGAUGCUUAUGAAAAGUUUAUUUAUGCUAUUCCUGAGUUUGCGGAUUUUGGGAAACUUUUCAAGCAGAAACAGAAUACUGAGUGAAUGUUGUACAAGUCCACCAAUACAACACUAGAGCAAUUACUAGAACAAGUAAUGACUAUCUUAUUGAAAGCAGAACUUCAUGUUACUCAGUUUCAUAUCUUGCAUAUUUGUGAUUCUCCCAGGUUGAUACAACCACUGGUGAGGCAGAGGAGGAUGGUGUUGAAGAUGAAUACCAGUUAGAGCAGAGGGGGUCUCAAAUUUCAGAAAUGCAUGGGAAAAUGUGGGCGCAGAUUAUGAGCUGAUAGAUGAAUAUGGCCUUGGCUCAAGGGAGAGCUGUGUAUCAGAUGGUGACCAUAUCAGUUGAUUAGAGAAUGCAGUUGAAAAUGAGGUUUAGCAUGAAGAAUUGAAGAAAUUAGGAUUUUCAGUCUAGUGUGUCCAGACACCCAGAAGACAGGUCCGGAUAGAAAUUUCAGAGACAUCAACAAUGACUUAUGUGUCCGGACAUGGUGUGAACAUGUCCUGACACAGUUUUCAAAGACUUCAUUUCAGAAGACAUGUCCGGACAGCCAGAAGCCGUGUCGGUUUACACAUAUGUAACACUAGCCAUGUCCGGACACAUACUUAACCCUGUCCGAACACAGCCGCUUUUAUUGUUGUGUGAAUUUCUAUGUAUACUAUCUUUUAUGCACAUUGAAAGGGAUGUAUUCAAAGAGCAAAUACUGUGAGCUUAGAGAGAGAGCAAUAGAGAUCUAGAACUUGAGUGACUUAUCUCUCUUAGAGUAAAGGUGGUGCCUUUAAUCCACGGAUCUGUGAGCAACACAUGAAGCCAAUCAAAGUUCUGGUGAAGGAGAUCACAUAGAAGAAACGGUACAGAGGUUUUGGAAGAACUACUGCAGUAACGGACAAGUGGGUCGUUUGUCUAGUACACGGGAUUGUCAAGUACAAAGGUUUUGUAAGUUUGACAUUGUGUAAAUUCUUGUUUUUUUUAUAAUGAAGUGAAUUCUUAGG